rnacentral:sRNA from 1 species
GGAGGAGCAAACCAGAGAACCUACUGGGUGGAAUUCUUGCUGUUGAGGGGACAGGCCCAAGAGGCCUGGCCCACCAUUGGUUAUUACCAGAGUGAAUUGGAGUGGUAUAUAUUUGCGCUGAAGAGAGCAGGAAUAAAACUGGUUUAUUAGCCGGGCGCCGUGACUCACGCCUGUAAUCCCAGCACUUUGGGAGGCUGAGGCGAGCGGAUCACCUGAGCAUGGACUCAGGAGACCUGGACAUUGGCAAAGAACAAGUUUGCCAAGUGCCUCAUGACCUGUCUCAAAUGCUGCUUCUGGUGCCUGGAGAAGUUCAUCAAAUUCCUCAAUAGGAAUGCCUACAUCAUGAUUGCCAUCUACGGCACCAAUUUCUGCACCUCGGCCAGGAAUGCCUUCUUCCUGCUCAUGAGAAACAUCAUCAGAGUGGCUGUCCUGGAUAAAGUUACUGACUUCCUCUUCCUGUUGGGCAAACUUCUGAUCGUUGGUAGUGUGGGGAUCCUGGCUUUCUUCUUCUUCACCCACCGUAUCAGGAUCGUGCAGGAUACAGCACCACCCCUCAAUUAUUACUGGGUUCCUAUACUGACGGUGAUCGUUGGCUCCU